UCCGGUUUGGCACCGGCAGUCCUCCCAGAGUCCCCGCCUUGACGCGCUGGCAACUAAGGGUAGGGGUUGCGCUCGUUGCGCCACUUAAGGCAACACCUCACGGCACGAGCUGACGACAGCCAUGCAGCACCUGUGCCGGCUCCCGAAGGAGCGCCGUGUUUCCACGGUUUCACCCGGCAUGUCAAGCCCUGGUAAGGUUCUUCGCGUCGCGUCGAAUUGAGCCACAUGCUCCGCCGCUUGUGCGGGCCCCCGUCAAUUCCUUUGAGUUUCAGCCUUGCGGCCGUACUCCCCAGGCGGGGCACUUAAUGCGUUAGCGCCGGCACCCAGGGGGCCGCUCCCCCAGGCACCUAGUGCCCAUCGUUUACGGCGUGGACUAC
rnacentral:misc_RNA from 1 species